GUGAAAUUGUUGAAAGGGAAGCGCUUGCAAUCAGACUUGCAUGCAGUUGAUCAUCCGAUGUUCUCACCGGUGCACUCAUCUGCAUUCAGGCCAGCAUCGGUUUUGGUGGUUGGAUAAAGGCCUUGGGAAUGUAGCUUCUUUCGGGGAGUGUUAUAGCCCAGGGUGCAAUGUGGCCUACCAGGACCGAGGACCGCGCUUCGGCUAGGAUGCUGGCGUAAUGGUUGUAAGCGACCCGUCUUGAAACACGGACCAAGGAGUCUAACAUCUAUGCGAGUGUUUGGGUGUAAAACCCAUACGCGUAAUGAAAGUGAACGGAGGUGAGAACCCUUAAGGGUGCAUCAUCGACCGAUCCUGAUGUCUUCGGAUGGAUUUGAGUAAGAGCAUAGCUGUUGGGACCCGAAAGAUGGUGAACUAUGCGUGGAUAGGGUGAAGCCAGAGGAAACUCUGGUGGAGGCUCGCAGCGGUUCUGACGUGCAAAUCGAUCGUCAAAUCUGCGUAUAGGGGCGAAAGACUAAUCGAACCAUCUAAUCCACUACUGGAUGGGAUAUCAGAGGUGCCCACUAGCACCUAAGUAGUCUCGUUGAGGCAACAUUACUACUGUGCUGGUAUGCUAUUUAAGCUACCUGCAGCGGGCAAUGCUCGUUCACAGACUAAACAGUAAUGGCCCUGAUUUUUGGGGUUGUGACAUAGCCGAUUCCUGUCCA
rnacentral:rRNA from 1 species